rnacentral:lncRNA from 12 species
CUUCUGCUUGCCAGUGGCCUGCGGGGGACGGUGGCACCACGAGCCUCUCCUCAGCAGAAGGCGGCUGGCAGGCCCGGCAGCCUGUGGGCCUUACUGCUGUGCGUGGGGUCAAGGUGUCCCAAGGUCGGCUCACAUUUGGGAAAAGCUGAUCCUCGGCCAGGAGCCAGAGAGCCCUCCUGCCGGUGCAGCGCCUUGAACCCUAGAGGUUGCCGCCGCGACCGCGACCGCGAAGGCGCGUCUUCCCUCUUUCUCGGGCCGAUCCCCGAGCUCGGUGGGCGCGGGAGGUGGCACAGGGGUGUCCGGUCGGUGGACCUGUCCUCGCUUACCCGGCGGGAGGGAAGCGAGAGCCCCUGCAGGCUUCCUGAAAAACGCCUUAUCGAAGCGGCAGCCACGGAAAAGCCGCGCAGCCCCGCGUGGGCCCGCCGGCCGCCCACACCCGCGCCCGCCGCCCCGGCCUCCCCUCCCCGCGGCAGCAGGGCGCCCCGGCUCGCGCCCCGCCGCCCCUCCCGCCCCUCCCCGCCCCGGGGCGCCCCCGGCCGUCUGCCGGCAGCUUGGGCGCUGGGCUCGUUCCCGACGGCUCCGUGAUCGCUCCCUGUUUCUGUGCGGGUCGCGCGGGGCCGGCCCGUCGCUCCGCCACGUCGCUGUUCCGGGGCCUCCGGGCCGGUCCCGGUCGCGCGUGUCAGAGCUCGGGGCCCUGCACACUCGUGGCAGUCCGCGGUGAGCUCCCCCGGUGUUGUGCUGCCUGCACCCCCAGAAGGGAGCCGACCGGCUGCCCCGACGGCCGCGCGGGCUUGGUCGCGGCGCACGCUGCAGCCUGGAGCAACCCCCACACCCACCGAGGCUGAUUCCCAGGGGUGCCAGCCGCUUCCUCCCCACCCCUCUGAGGCGGUGCAGCGGUGUCCCGUCGUGGUUUUAAUUUGCAUUUCCCUGAUGAUUAAUGAGGCGGAGCACCGUUUCAUAUGCUCAUCGGCCUUUCCCUUUUCUGUGAAGUGCUCAUUCAAGUCUUCUGCCCCUUUUUCUAUUGGGUUACCUGCAUUUUUCUAAUGGGUUUAUAGGUAUUCUUUACAUCUUUUGGGUAUGGGUUCUUUGUUGGAUAUGGUUCUGCACCUGCUUGCUCUCCUCUCCACCCAUCCCAUCUCUGUUAACUUUGUGGUGCCACUUUCUAUUUUUGCCAGUUGCUUAUGCCUUUCCAGCAGUUGGACUUCUUCCUUGAAUGCCCCACCAGGCACACUGACACCUACCUCAGUGCUCUACAGUAGCUCCUACGUUGCCUGGAAUUCUUUCCCUAGAGAUCCAUGUAGCCCCUUCCUCUGCCUUCUUCAGUCAUUUGUUUCAGAGACAUCUUUUUAACGAGGCCUGCUCCAAUAUAUCUAUUUGGUCUUGCAAGGUGUGUACCAAGACCUAUUUGCCACCCCCACCCAUUGUUUUCUUUCUUUUUUAAAAACCUUCAUGUUAUGUAAAUUUUUCAACAUACUCCAAAUCAGAAAUAUUAAUAUAAAGGCCCUUCACAUAUUUAUCAUCCAGUAUCAAUAAUUAUCAACACUUUUGCAAUCUUACUUUAACCAUCAAUGCAUCAGUCUAUAUUUUUAAUAGAAAAAUACCUGUUUUCUGGAACACAGACAUCAUGCCAUCAUCAAAUUUAAUAAAAUUAAUGGUAUCACAUAACA